rnacentral:rRNA from 1 species
UACAGAGGGUGCGAGCGUUGUCCGGAAUCACUGGGCGUAAAGGGCGCGUAGGUGGCACGACAAGUCAGUGGUGAAAGCUCGACGCUCAACGUCGAGUCGGCCACUGAUACUGUUGGGCUGGAGCACUGUAGAGGCAGAUGGAAUUCCGGGUGUAGCGGUGGAAUGCGUAGAGAUCCGGAAGAACACCGGUGGCGAAGGCGGUCUGCUGGGCAGUUGCUGACACUGAGUGCGCGACAGCGUGGGGAGCAAACAGG